rfam:Flavonifractor plautii ATCC 29863 genomic scaffold Scfld41, whole genome shotgun sequence.
CUGAACUCUGUAUCUGAAUCGGCGGGGGAAGUUCCCGCCUGACCCGGUGUGACGGGUUACAAAAGCUCUGAGUCUCCGACGUGCCCAUCGCAGUGCUAUGUGGUGGGUACGAAGCUCGGUAAAGUGCGGAGGUGAUAUCUGAGAUGGUAUCACGCCGCUAGAGGCUAUAAA